GCUUCAGUCUGUUUGCAGACUGGCGGAGCAUGUUGAAAAGAAUGACUGGUCUUCUUACCAGGUAACAGGAGACACCUGGGCAGGGUAUGGUCUCAGUUCUUCCCAUCCCCCAAUGAUUCUCUACCACACUUGUUUUUUUUAAAUGUGUUCACUAAGCUCCAGGUUUUAUCUAAGUAAGCAUUUUACCUGUUUUAACUUAUUUAAUCCCUAUAGCAAAUAUAUGAGGUAGAGUGGUAGGCUGAUAAUGGAUCCCAAAGACAUAUCUCUGUCCUAAGCCCUGGAACUUGGAAUCUGUGAAUGUGACUUUCUGUGGUAAAGGUUAUGCAGAUGUGACUGUGUCAAAACUCUUGGGGACACCCUCCUGGGUUUUCCAGAUUGGCCUAAAUGCCAUCACAAAUGUUCUCAUGACAAAGAGGCAGAAAGAAAUUACACACACAGAGGAGAAGGCGAUGUGGGGGUGGAACAGAGAUUGGUGCGAUGUGGCCACAAACUGAUCAAUGCUGCGGCCACCACAACCUGCAAGAGGCCAGGCACGGAUUCUCCGCUAGAGCCUCCAGAAGGAGCACCACCAGAAAUCAAAUGACAGCACCUUGAUUUUGGAUUUCUGGCCUCCAGCACUGGGAGAGAAUAAAUUUCUUAAUAAUUAUCUUCAGCCACCGAGUUUGCAGCAAUUUCUUGCAGCAGACAAGGACUUCCUACAUGAUGUUGAAUAACAGCGGGCAGAGUGAAUCUCCUUUUCUUGUCUCUGACCUUUUGGAGAAAGUAUUCAGUCUUUCACCGUAAAUAUGUCAGCUGUAGCUCUUUUAUUGAUGUUCUUCGUCAAGUUGAAUAUGGAGUCUUAUGUUGACCAGGCUGGUCUUGAACUCCUGACCUCAAAUGAUCCUCCAUCUUAGCCUCCCAAAGCCCUGGAAUUACAGGCAAGGUUAUUGAAGAUCACACAGGCUGAAGAAGGCUGCUGAAUUCUUCAAUAUGAACCAUCCCUUUGAUAAGAAACGGAGUGGGCCUGGUUCUUCUCGUUCCAGGAGACCUCUGGUGUGCUUCCUGGCAUAUGAGUGAGUGGGAAAGACUCUGCCAGUCCCCAGUCCCCCACCCCUCUUGCCACUCAGCCUCAAUCUGUGAACCAGGCCAGCUAGCCAGUCUAUUAAUGCUGACAUUGAUUUGGACAACCAGGCCAAUCAAGAUCCCAUAAUUACUGGGAGUUUUAACCAACUCAUGCCAAUUCAGCUGCCGCUCAAUUUGUGCUGGACUUCGGUGCUGACAAGGAGGGAAGCGGCGGGGGUGGAGAGGAGGGCAUGCAAAAAGGAUUACAGGGAUCAAUAGUCCUUGGUAAUGAAGGACAGCAGCUGCAGGCACCACCAGGGGGCCUGAGACUUCAGAGUGGAGGAGACAGAGUCUGCCCCCAUCCCCCAGGAGAGCUCCCUGUCAGAGAAUGAAAACCAUGCCCCUGCUUCACCUCUGCCUACACCUGGAUCUGGAAACCACUUAGGCACUACCAGGCAGCACCUGUUCUCUGCAGGGUCCAACCCUCAGUAUCUCUCUCCACAUUUUGCCCUCAGCCGGGCCUGGCCUCCUCUUCCUGAAGAAUCAGCAAUGUAUGCUUCAGAGCCAGCAAUCCCAUUACUGAGUAUACAUCCAAAAGAAAAUAAAUCGCUCUACCAAAAAGACACAGACAA